UACGUAGGGGGCAAGCGUUGUCCGGAUUUAUUGGGCGUAAAGAGCGUGUAGGCGGCCUGAAAGGUCAGCUGUGAAAACUCGAGGCUCAACCUCGAGACGUCGGUUGAAACCAUCUGGCUAGAGUCCGGAAGAGGAGAGUGGAAUUCCCGGUGUAGCGGUGAAAUGCGCAGAUAUCAGGAGGAACACCGAUGGCGAAGGCAGAUCUCUGGGCCGUAACUGACGCUGAGGAGCGAAAGCAUGGGGAGCGAACAGG
rnacentral:rRNA from 1 species